GGAGGGCGCGGCGGUCGCU
rnacentral:sRNA from 1 species